GUGAUGGACUAAUUUGCUAUAUUUGGUAUGAUCCAUGCUCUUGCUUAAGGCCGGCCCGUGGGUCCUAUUUUGGACGGUUUGGUAUUCAUUAGGUCCUGUGUUUUGUCUGUGUUGUCACUUGGCUAGUUUUUGGGUUGAGGCAGGGGUCUCAAUAUGAGGGAAUUAAAGUCUGUCUGUACCUACAGUACAUCACUCUGACUUCCUUUCUCUCUCUCUCUCUCUCUCUCUCUCUCUCCCUCCCUCUCUCAUUCCCUUUCUUACUCUCUCUGUCUGUCUGUCUCUGUCUCCUUCCGCCCUCGAACUGUCUAUCAGCUCUUGACCACAAAUCCAUCUUCAAUCUUCCAACUUCUUUCCUCACUACGAUGGCUAAAUACGUAUUUACAGGGCUGCGGUGUGCUGACCUCGUUCUCACCCCGGUGCCACCCAGCCAGUGCGGGACUCAGGCACGAUUGGCCCCUGCCAAAACUCCACAGCGGCACAUCUGCUAUCCAUAAACGCCAGCCACUCACUUCAUCUCCCUCGCCCACCCCCUACCUCCUUCACUUCUCCUGUUGCUUAAUUUUCUGUUUUGCCAUCCGAGCAAGCCAUGUACUGUUCUCCUGCCAUCUUGCUGUUUUUUAAAUUCUGCCCAAGCAAGUAACGGUUCUUCUUAGUCCUGUCCUUCCAACCCAAUGAUCCAUCUCCCACUCUUUAUCUUGCUCCAACGGAAAACUUUCUCACCCAUUAUAUCCUAAACUGGAAGCCAGCUAAGUGUGGUGGCUGUGAAUUAGGAGCCGCAGGACGAUCCAGCUCCAAGCCAACACCAUUAACCCAUUCUGCUAUUCCCAUGGCCCAUUACUAUCACUGUCUGCAUGAGAUAUCCUAAUUAUAUCUCUCCAGGUUGGCUUUGUUGUGAGACAAAAAUUACUUUCACUCAACACUCAGUAAACCGAACAUUUCCUUCUGCAAAGGGCAGGGAUGUUUUCGGGUGAUCUGUACGGCUCUAGAGGAACGCUCCCCAUCCACAUUCCAUUCAUGUGUUGCUUAAAGUUAAGGACAAUCUCCAGUGUGGGAGGAUUAGAUUUCCUCUCUAGAUCAUAAGCAUUUGGCCAGGCGCACCACACCCAUUAGCUUUAAAAAAGAUGUGUUUAACACGUCCUCACUGAAUACCCUGUGUGCACUAUGGCUGAAAAAAAAGGAACAAAAAAUAAAUUGAGUGCCUUAACUUAAACCUUCCAGAGCUUCAAGUGCACCCCUAGGCAAUAAAGAAGUAUUACCCUUG